AUGUCCGCUGUUACCCAUCUAGUUCUGAAUGGACCUGUCUCUCUCCACACCGCAGGGAGACAGCCUGUCUGAUUUGCAUUAUUGGCUUUAAGGCCCCAGGCCCACCCUCCAGCCCUCUCCAGGGCCAAGCAGUGCUGAAUUCUCUGGCAUGCUCCACAAGUUACCAUCUGUGUAUAUGUGAAACGUGUGCGGUCUUUUUCUGAAACAAAGGUGAAAAGUAGUUUUUCUCACUUACUACUGUCUGACGCCGACACCAACGUGUUCCAGGCCAGCCUGAGCUGGAGGGAGUCCCGCCUCUAAGAUGCAUUUCUGUCGCCACUGUGGCUCACUCGCUUUAGUUCCUGCUUGGAAUUCUGAUGCAAGUCAUGACACUGGAUAAACUUGUGGGCUCCCUCCCAGGCAAUCAAGCUGCCCCAGCCCAGCUGUUUUAUGGCUUCUCUAGUCCCCAAGGAGAGAGGGUAAGUAGAGCCAUGACAACUCAAAAGGCCUAAACACUCCUCCAUCCUGACACACCACCUGAGUCCCCUCCCCACUAAGGCAAGCCAUUUUAAGAAAUAACUCAUUUUCUAGGCCAACUCUAUAGAAUACCUAGUCCAAACAUCUACUCCAGUAGGAUAUGAGAACUUGCCUGUAGCUCUUUCCAGAAAAGUCAGAGCCCUGAGAUGAUGAUAAAUUAUCCAAUGUAAAAUAAAUGUCAACCACAAGCCAUUUCCAAAGAAUCUCUACUGAGGCCUGAAAGUUAACAUUUAUAUACUCAUAGAUAUGUGCACAGUCCUCAAAACCAAAACCCAGAAAUGAUUGAUUCUGCUAAAUAAAUGGUAUUGACAGCCACAAAAAUAGACAUGUCCCUAGUGCAUUUUCGUGCCUGACAUUUCCAUGUGUGGGUGUUGGUAAAGGGCCAGCCACACAUAGGCAUGAGAAGGAUUGCAGUCUUAAGACAGCCUGAGGUCAAGGACCAGGCCAGAAUGGCUGGAAAUGUCAUUGUUCUCUGUAGACGUGCUUUCCCCGACCUCUGACGAGAGCAGCUAUCUCUGAGAGAGAGCAGUCUAGAAGGGGAUGACUUCCAUAGAGCACACCACCAGGAAAAUCUUAUCCAAGCACAUGGAGGCUAGUGAGGACCCAGAAGAUAUCAGUUCUCCUAAGGUCAGCCAGUUUUGCUGUUGUGGAUUUGGGGGUUUUGUUUGUUUAGAGAAGGAGUUUCUCUGACACCUUGGCUGGAACUCACACUGUAGACCAGGCAGAGAUCCACCUACCUCUGCCUCUCAAGUGUGUGCCACCACUGCCUGGCAAGGUCAGCUGCUUUAACAGGCUGCAGGUCCCCAUGUUUGGUGCUUUAAUUAUAUUAGACAUAAGGAAGUCUAUGGCUAAGCCAGGCGUGGUGGCACAUGCCUUUAAUCCCAGCACUCGGGAGGCAGAGGCAGGCGGAUUUCUGAGUUCAAGGCCAGCCUGGUCUACAAAGUGAGUUCCAGGACAGCCAGGAGUACACAGAGAAACACUGUCUCGAAAAACCAAAACAAGGGGGCUGGAGAGAUGGCUCAGCGGUUAAGAGCACUGACUGCUCUUCCAAAGGUCCUGAGUUCAAAUCCCAACAACUACAUGGUGGCUCACAACCAUCUAUAAUGAGAUCUGGCAUCCUCUUCUGGAGUGUCUGAAGACAGCUACAGUGUACUUAAAGCAUACAAUAAACAAAUAAAUCUUUAAAAGAAAAAAAAAAGAAAAACGAAAAAAAAAAAGAAAAGAAAAAGGAAGUCUGUGGCUGAGACAUGAGGAAACCUUGGCUCUGAGGACUUUCUAUGCAACUCCUCCAGGUCCAAGAACUUGAGGCAGGACAGUCCCCAUUAUGUGAGCUUAGAAUUUAAUCUGCCUCACACUCCAAGGACCUAGGAUGCCAGGUACCCACUGCUUUGAGAGGUGUCUUCACAUUUAGUCUAUUGAGAUGGUAAGAAGGCAUAAAACUUGUAACUCCCUUUUAGAGAGAGAACUUUCCAUAGAAGCGGAGUCUGGCAGGAACCUUCCUUUAGAGGCUGCCUACAAGGCUGGUUCACUAACAGGGACAGAGGAGGCUCCUAAGCCUUUCUUUUGAUCUUCUAGGCUUCAGCUACGAGGACAUAGGAAAUAUAGGACAUAUCCUCUAUGGAUGAGUAUGGCUCUCCAGGUGUGGCAGCCUCCUAGGAGCUAAGCCUGUACCAGACUUGGAAGUGUGACACUGACCCUUUGACAGACAAUGAUCAUUGUAAGCUCUGGGCAGUCUGAAAGCUGUGAAUGCCAGUGGGCGCUGUCCUGCUGGAGCUCAGACUGGACGCACUGACACACACAUACGUGGUGUCGCCAUUCUUCCUUAGAGCACUGUGCUCCCAGAGCAUUGCAGGUUCGCAGCCAAAGGAUUUCCCGUGUUUACUCUGCAGGACUGAAGGACUGGAUUUUGGAGAGGCAGGUUCAUGAUGCACAUCAGGGCCAGGCCUACCUCUAGCUAAGUCCUGGCAGGAGGAUGUGAAUGCUCUUGACCCAGCUUCAGAGAACCAUCAGAGCAAUGAGAAAGACCAGAAACUUAAAUCAUUUAAAAAGAUACAUUUUACAUAAAACCCUACAGAUGUUUAUCUUCUCACCUUUAAGUCUCUAAUAGAUCAGAGUAAUGUUCCUUGGACUUGCAGAAACUUGACUCAAUUCUAACUUCAAUUAGAAUAAACACAAAACCAAGGGGAGCUGAAUGAGAUUCAUCUCACUACUGAGGCUCUAAGUUCCUUUUUGUUUUUGAGACAUGGGCUCAUACACCCUAGGCUAGUCAGUUCGCUUUGUAGCUAAGGAUGACUUUAAACUGGUCAUCCUCUCUCCUACAACUCAAAUGCUGGGAUUAUAGGCAUGCAUCACUGUACCUGACUUCAGAAUAUUAUACUUGGAAAAGCCUGUUGUUCUUUUCCUCCCAAGAGGGUAUCUCAAGAGACAGGACUACUCUGUAAGCACCAAGGCCCCAUGCAAGGCUGUGCUCACAUGCAACAUACAUAGGAGGCUGUCUUUCAGUGCAUAUCUUCCAUGGGAAAGCUCAUUAUGGAAGCUUUCUAGAACAGUCCAAUGUGAGGAGUCAGAGUGGCAACUUCUUCACGUGUUGGUGCAGACAGAGAUUGUAGUGAGUAACUCUUCACUGUUAAGUCACUUGCACACAGCUGCCCUUUGCCCUUCCCCCUUAUACUUCUGGUUUAGGCAAAUGUGCACAGAAACUGCGUGUGGAGGCUGUGUACAUGGUGAUGGACCCCAAAACACCCAGAGCCUUGCCUUAGGAGAUGACACAGAGAUACAAAUCCACUGGCUUGUUAUUUCAGGCAGUCAGAAUCACUGGUGAAGAGGUCUGAAGGCUUCUGAAAUAGUCAUUUUAAGUGUGCCUUAGACUUGUAGUCUUCAACUUGGGGUAAUGAGCUGUGUGAACACUGCCAUGGUCUGGAACAGCAAAUGUCCCCCUCAGACAAACACAGUUACCCUGUUGUCUCAGACACUUCACAACUUCCUCUUGGAAAGAUGUCAAAGCCAUAACCUUCAGACGUAUCUCAGAGCCAUCAGAAGGUUUGUUAGAGGCCUCAGUAGAUAGAGCAGAGACGCUAGUCCUGGGAGGUCUCCUGGCUGCCACAGAAACACCUGUUUUUAGUUUCCACAGCUAUUAAAUCAAACCUUCAACCCA